rnacentral:rRNA from 1 species
ACGGAGGAUCCAAGCGUUAUCCGGAAUCAUUGGGUUUAAAGGGUCCGUAGGCGGUCUUAUAAGUCAGUGGUGAAAUCUCCCCGCUCAACGGGGAAACGGCCAUUGAUACUGUAAGACUUGAAUUAUUAGGAAGUAACUAGAAUAUGUAGUGUAGCGGUGAAAUGCUUAGAGAUUACAUGGAAUACCAAUUGCGAAGGCAGGUUACUACUAAUGGAUUGACGCUGAUGGACGAAAGCGUGGGUAGCGAACAGGAUUAGAUACCCUGGUAGUCCACGCCGUAAACGAUGGAUACUAGCUGUUGGGUGCAAACUCAGUGGCUAAGCGAAAGUGAUAAGUAUCCCACCUGGGGAGUACGUUCGCAAGAAUG